rnacentral:rRNA from 1 species
GUGGGGAAUAUUGCACAAUGGGCGAAAGCCUGACGCAGCAACGCCGCGUGAGGGAUGACGGCCUUCGGGUUGUAAACCUCUUUUAGUAGGGAAGAAGCGAAAGUGACGGUACCUGCAGAAAAAGCACCGGCUAACUACGUGCCAGCAGCCGCGGUAAUACGUAGGGUGCAAGCGUUGUCCGGAAUUAUUGGGCGUAAAGAGCUCGUAGGCGGUUUGUCGCGUCUGCUGUGAAAUCCCGAGGCUCAACCUCGGGUCUGCAGUGGGUACGGGCAGACUAGAGUGUGGUAGGGGAGAUUGGAAUUCCUGGUGUAGCGGUGGAAUGCGCAGAUAUCAGGAGGAACACCGAUGGCGAAGGCAGAUCUCUGGGCCAUUACUGACGCUGAGGAGCGAAAGCAUGGGGAGCGAACAGGAUUAGAUACCCUGGUAGUCCAUGCCGUAAACGUUGGGCGCUAGAUGUGGGGACCAUUCCACGGUUUCCGUGUCGUAGCUAACGCAUUAAGCGCCCCGCCUGGGGAGUACGGCCGCAAGGC